AGUGAACGCUGGCGGUAGGCCUAACACAUGCAAGUCGACCGGCAGCACAGUAAGAGCUUGCUCUUACGGGUGGCGAGUGGCGGACGGGUGAGGAAUACAUCGGAAUCUACUUUUUCGUGGGGGAUAACGUAGGGAAACUUACGCUAAUACCGCAUACGACCUACGGGUGAAAGCAGGGGAUCUUCGGACCUUGCGCGAUUGAAUGAGCCGAUGUCGGAUUAGCUAGUUGGCGGGGUAAAGGCCCACCAAGGCGACGAUCCGUAGCUGGUCUGAGAGGAUGAUCAGCCACACUGGAACUGAGACACGGUCCAGACUCCUACGGGAGGCAGCAGUGGGGAAUAUUGGACAUUGGGCGCAAGCCUGAUCCAGCCAUACCGCGUGGGUGAAGAAGGCCUUCGGGUUGUAAAGCCCUUUUGUUGGGAAAGAAAAGCAGCAGGUUAAUACCCCGCUGUUCUGACGGUACCCAAAGAAUAAGCACCGGCUAACUUCGUG
rnacentral:rRNA from 1 species